GCAAGUCGAGCGAACGGACGAGAAGCUUGCUUCUCUGAUGUUAGCGGCGGACGGGUGAGUAACACGUGGAUAACCUACCUAUAAGACUGGGAUAACUUCGGGAAACCGGAGCUAAUACCGGAUAAUAUUUUGAACCGCAUGAUUCAAAAGUGAAAGACGGUCUUGCUGUCACUUAUAGAUGGAUCCGCGCUGCAUUAGCUAGUUGGUAAGGUAACGGCUUACCAAGGCAACGAUGCAUAGCCGACCUGAGAGGGUGAUCGGCCACACUGGAACUGAGACACGGUCCAGACUCCUACGGGAGGCAGCAGUAGGGAAUCUUCCGCAAUGGGCGAAAGCCUGACGGAGCAACGCCGCGUGAGUGAUGAAGGUCUUCGGAUCGUAAAACUCUGUUAUUAGGGAAGAACAUAUGUGUAAGUAACUGUGCACAUCUUGACGGUACCUAAUCAGAAAGCCACGGCUAACUACGUGCCAGCAGCCGCGGUAAUACGUAGGUGGCAAGCGUUAUCCGGAAUUAUUGGGCGUAAAGCGCGCGUAGGCGGUUUUUUAAGUCUGAUGUGAAAGCCCACGGCUCAACCGUGGAGGGUCAUUGGAAACUGGAAAACUUGAGUGCAGAAGAGGAAAGUGGAAUUCCAUGUGUAGCGGUGAAAUGCGCAGAGAUAUGGAGGAACACCAGUGGCGAAGGCGACUUUCUGGUCUGUAACUGACGCUGAUGUGCGAAAGCGUGGGGAUCAAACAGGAUUAGAUACCCUGGUAGUCCACGCCGUAAACGAUGAGUGCUAAGUGUUAGGGGGUUUCCGCCCCUUAGUGCUGCAGCUAACGCAUUAAGCACUCCGCCUGGGGAGUACGACCGCAAG
rnacentral:rRNA from 1 species